GACGAACGCUGGCGGCGUGGAUUAGGCAUGCAAGUCGGACGGUAUGGACCUUUCGGGGUUCAGAGAGUGGCGAACGGGUGAGUAACACGUAGGUAAUCUACCCUCAAGACGGGGACAACCCAGGGAAACUUGGGCUAAUACCGGAUGAGUGUAGUGGCUGUUUUUCUGAAUAUCAUUAUUCACGUAAGUGAGUGAUUAUAAGAAGGGAAAGCGGUUAUUACAUAAAAGGUGGCUUUAGCUGCCGCUUGGGGAUGAGCCUGCGUCCUAUUAGUUAGUUGGUGAGGUAAUGGCUUACCAAGGCGAUGAUAGGUAGGCGGCCUUAAACGGGUGGUCGCCCGCAACUGGGAUUGAGAUACGGCCCAGACUCCUACGGGAGGCAGCAGUCGAGAAUAGUCUACAAUGGUCGGAAGACUGAUAGUGCGACGCCGCGUGAACGAUGAAUCCCUUCGGGGUGUAAAAGUUCUUUUAUAUGUGAGCAGUGCUUCUUAUAUUAACAGUAUGGGGAGAAGAGAUAUUAG
rnacentral:rRNA from 1 species